rnacentral:rRNA from 1 species
CCUACGGGCGGCUGCAGUGGGGAAUAUUGGACAAUGGGGGGAACCCUGAUCCAGCCAUGCCGCGUGUGUGAAGAAGGCCCUCGGGUUGUAAAGCACUUUCAGUGAGGAAGAACGCCUGGUGGUUAAUACCCAUCAGGAAAGACAUCACUCACAGAAGAAGCACCGGCUAACUCCGUGCCAGCAGCCGCGGUAAUACGGAGGGUGCGAGCGUUAAUCGGAAUUACUGGGCGUAAAGCGCGCGUAGGUGGCUUGAUAAGUCGGUUGUGAAAGCCCCGGGCUCAACCUGGGAACGGCAUCCGGAACUGUCAAGCUAGAGUGCAGGAGAGGAAGGUAGAAUUCCCGGUGUAGCGGUGAAAUGCGUAGAGAUCGGGAGGAAUGCCAGUGGCGAAGGCGGCCUUCUGGACUGACACUGACACUGAGGUGCGAAAGCGUGGGUAGCAAACAGGAUUAGAUACCCCUGUAGUC